GAUGAACGCUGGCGGCGUGCCUAAUACAUGCAAGUCGAGCGAACAGACGAGGAGCUUGCUCCUCUGACGUUAGCGGCGGACGGGUGAGUAACACGUGGAUAACCUACCUAUAAGACUGGGAUAACUUCGGGAAACCGGAGCUAAUACCGGAUAAUAUAUUGAACCGCAUGGUUCAAUAGUGAAAGACGGUUUUGCUGUCACUUAUAGAUGGAUCCGCGCCGCAUUAGCUAGUUGGUAAGGUAACGGCUUACCAAGGCAACGAUGCGUAGCCGACCUGAGAGGGUGAUCGGCCACACUGGAACUGAGACACGGUCCAGACUCCUACGGGAGGCAGCAGUAGGGAAUCUUCCGCAAUGGGCGAAAGCCUGACGGAGCAACGCCGCGUGAGUGAUGAAGGUCUUCGGAUCGUAAAACUAUGUUAUUAGGGAAGAACAAAUGUGUAAGUAACUAUGCACGUCUUGACGGUACCUAAUCAGAAAGCCACGGCCAACUACGUG
rnacentral:rRNA from 1 species